rnacentral:misc_RNA from 1 species
AAGAUGAAGGCGAUGAACCGCUUCUUCGAAGAGGGUGACAAGGUCAAGGUGACGCUGAAGUUCCGUGGCCGUGAAAUGGCGCACCAGGAACUCGGCCUGAAGCUUCUGCUGCAGGUGAAGGAAGAUACGCUUGGCGUCGCCAAGGUGGAAGCCGAGCCGAAGCUCGAAGGACGCCAGAUGAUGAUGGUUCUGGCGCCGAAGUAAGGCUGCCGGCCCGACGCUGCCGGGUCUGGUGACGUGGCAAAUCCCAUCAGCGCUUCACAAAAGCCGCCACAUGUCUGGCGGC